GAAUGAUUUUGAUGCUCCAUAUAGAUUUAGAGUUACAAAACGUUGUUUGAGGGCAGGUCAAGGCAGUUUUGCUUUGCCUCUACUCAGUUACAGUGUAUUACAAGUCAUAUAUCUUCAAUAAUUUAUAUUUUAUCUCUGAAUUAUGAAGACCUGAAGAUUCCCCCAUCUCUUCUGAACAAAACAGUGUCAGAAUGAGCGUUCUAGCCCCUACGGUUAGGAAAUUAUGGCCAUUUGUUCAAGGGGAAUCCUGAAUGUGAGAAAUACACUGCAGAAAACUUUUACCUCUCUCUGUCUGUGUGUGUAAGGGCUGAUUACAUCAGGUGCAGCUAAUUUAACUGACCUAGAUAUACCAAGCCCAGACUCUUAACAGCCACUGUUCCCUUUAGGCUCUGUGUAUGUGUAUGUUUGUGUGUCUGUAUCAAUAUUUCUCCCAUGUUAAAGUAUUACUCUUCCAUAAUAGUAUUUCUGUUAAAUCAAAGUACUUCUACUACAUCUUAGUACUUCUGCUCAAUCAUGGUAUUUCUGCUAAAUCAUAGUAUUUUUGCCAAAUCAUGGUUUUUGUGCCAAAUCAUAACAUUUAUGUUAUGUUAUAGUAUUACUACUAAGUGGAGGAAUUUCUGUCAUAUUAUAGUGUAUGUACUGAUUACAGUAUAUCUGCCAAAUCAUAGUAUGUCUGCAAAAUCACAGUAUAUCUGUUAUGUUAUAGUAUUACUACUAAGUCAUAGUAUUUGAGUGAGAUUAGCGUUUCUGCAAAAACAUAGUAUUUCUGAUAUCUUAUAGUACUUCUAAUCAAUUAUAGUAUUUGUGCCAAAGUUAAGUAUUUCUGCCAAAUCAUAUUAUCUCUGCUAAAUCAUAGUAUCUGCCAAAUCCUAGUAAUUUUGCUCAAUGAAUUUCUGCUAUGCUGUAGUACUUUUUGCUUGAUUAUAGUAUUUCUGCUAAGUCAAAGUAUUUCAUGUAAAUCAUAGUAUUUCUACCA
rnacentral:lncRNA from 1 species